CUUCUCUCUCUCUCCUAACCCAACAUACGCUCUCUAUGGUCCCUUUCUUCCCCUGCAAUGGCAGAUUUCUUUUGGCUUCUUCUCCAAUUUUGAGUAAAGGUUUGACCUCUCAUAUUAUGAAAGCAGAGAUUCCAGGCUCAUUGCAAGCAAAUGUUUGCAGCCCCAACGUGAUUCUAAUUUUGUUUUGACAAAGAUUCAAACUGGAUUCCAUUUGCAAUGAAUUUGACAAAGAGAUUUUCUUAGUUGUCUUCCGGCAAUUGACGUUAAUUGGAGGUAGCGAGGCUGCGUUCGGUGUUUCGUUGGAUCCGAGACCUCAGCCCCGAUUCACUGCCGCAAAACAGAUCUAGGUGCAUCUGAGGCUGAGUAAGGACUUGUCUGCCGAGCAGCUCAUAUCCGGGAGUAUCGAGGUAGCUGCGUGACGUCCACAGUCCUGAUCUUCCCUUCGAUCUUAUUGCUUUAUUU